ACCUCCAAUUGCCAUCUAAAGGUUGCUGGAAAAUGUUAAAGAGCAUUUUGUCGAUCAAGAUUUUCUGGGCAAGAACAUUCAAUACAGAACACUGUGUGAAGAAAACUUCGCUGUCUUAUUUUUUUAGUAGCACAAAUCGUUUACAAAAUUUAAGUUUUAAUUACCUUUGAGAUUUACAGUACUGAUUUGGCAGAUCUCUCCCUGUUUUCAUCACAGCAGGAGAAGGUGAAACAGCCUAAUAAAGACAGAAACAAGAAUGAAGAACCAGUCUGAGACACUGGUCACUGAGGCUGGUAAAAGCCUGUCAGAGCUUAAAAGUGUGUUCCAAGUUCUUCACAGAGUUUUUGCCUCCUGUGAUACAAAAGAAUGGCUCAUCAUCUUCUCCAGGGGGUAACCAAUCAUGAAAGAUCUUCUGGAUAAAGAACAUAGUUUCUGGAUGUUUUCUAAGACUGCACAAACUUCUGAUGGAAGAAGUGCCAGAGAUGGAGCUGCUUGGAAAGAGGGAGAGCAGAUGGCAAUUGAGCUCACAGUCCUCCUAUGCCAGAGCAGCAUCUAUUUGUGGGUGAGAGUUUGCUGAUGGAAAAUCCAUAGAGGGACAAACUUACCCUGCUGUGACUCUGAAAGAUACUCAAAGAAAUAGUGCAAAGUUCUGCAGCUGUAAAGCUUUCCUGUUCAGUAAAUGGUAGUUAAGAUGGCUGUUCUGAUUACAGACACAUUCAUCUAGAGAUUUAUGAGCACAAGGAUAAUAAAACAUUAAAACAUAAAUUUAAAACGACAUAUGAAAAUCACAGGUGCAAAAACUAACACAGAAAAAAGGCACACAUGCCAAGAAUACAGUUCUAGCUUGAUUGUGGUACCACUAUUACAGUCUCUUGAUCUUGAGUCCGUGUAUAUAUAUGCACAGACACAUUAAAUGCCAGAAAAUAUUUUUUAGAUAAAGCACAGUUGCAAGUGGUAGCAGGUGUAGCAUGAUGAAGAUCAGGGCAUGGCAACUUCAAACAUCUGAGAGUGUGGUCCCUACUCUGGGAAAAGAGGCAUAGAAAUAAGACUUUUAAUGGACUGUCAGUAGAAAGUACUGACCUUACCAGGACAAAAAUUAAAGGGUAACUUAAUUUGCUCCCAAAAAUUAGACCUUCCAUAGUAUUCUCAAUUGUUCUCAAACACAGUGAUGUUUAAACAGGAAGCAUGUAUGCUUUUCUUUCUAAAGAAAGCAAGAAAGGUUUUAAAAGCCUUGUGGUAUUUUUGUAUAUUUCAAGUUACUCAUGUUAAAAAUCAUCAAAAGUAAAAAUAUCAUAUUUGCUCUUGGAAAAAAA